rnacentral:lncRNA from 1 species
CUCCCUGGCAUGGAGGUCUUCAGGUCCUGCCAAGUGAGUGACCUCCCAAUUGGGUCUCCAGCCACCCCCACCGGUGUUCUUGGGAUGACAGAGAUUUGAAUUCUCCCUGGUAUGGAGGUCUCAGCGUCUGGCCCAGUGAAGGACUUCGGCCUCCAGCCACCCUGCCAGUGUUUUGGGGCUGACAGAAAUUUGAAUUCUCCCUGGCAUGGAGGUCUUGAGGUCCUGCCCAGUGAGGGACCUCUCAACCGUGGCCUCCAGCCACCCCCACCGGUGUUCUCGGGCUGACAGAGAUCUGAAUUCUCCCUGGCACGUAGUUCUCAAGGUCCCGCCCAAUGAGUGUCCUUUUAGCUGGGGUCUCCAGCCAAUCCCACUGGUGUUCUCAGGCUGACAGUGAUUUGAGUUCUCCCUGGCAUGGAGGUCUCGGGGUCUUGCCCAGUGAGGAACCCCCCCAACCGGGGCCUGCAGCCACCCUCGCUGGUGUUCUGGGGCUGACAGAGAUUUGAAUUCUCCCAGGCAUGGAGUUUGUGAGGUCCCACCCAGUUAGGGUUCUCCUAACUGAGACCUCUGGCCACUCACACCUGUGUUCUCAUGCUGAAAGAGAUUUGAAUUCUUCCUGGCAUGGAGGUCUCCGGUUCCUGCCCAGUGAGGGUCCUUCCAACUCAGGCCUCCAGCCAACUCCCCCCACCCCCGCCAAUAUUCUGGGGCUGACAGAGAUUUCAAUUCUCCCUGGCAUCGAGGUAUCGGGGUCCUGCCCAGUGAGGGACCUCCCAACGGGGGCCUGCAGCCACCCCCGCCAGUGUUCUGGGGCUGACAGAGAUUUGAAUUCUCCCUAGUGUGGAGGUCUUGAGGUCCUGCCCAGUGAGGGACCUCCCAAGCGGGGCCUCCAGCCAACCCCACUGGUGUUCUCAUGCUGAGAGAGAUUUGAAUUCUCCCUGGCAUGUAAUUCACAAGGCAGGCUGACAGAGAUUUGAAUUCUCCCUGGCAUGUAAUUCACAAGGUCCCACCCAAUGAGGGUCCUUUUAGCUGCGGUGUCCAGCCACCCCCACUGGUGUUCCCAGGCUGACAGAGAUUUGAGUUCUCCCUGGCAUGGAGGUCUUGGGGUAUCGCCCAGUGAGGGACCUCCCAACCGGGGCCUCCGGCCACCCCCGCCUUUAUUCUGGGACUGACAGAGAUUUGAAUUCUCCCUGGCAUGGAGGUCUCGGGGUCUGGCCCAGUGAGCGACCUCCCAACUGGGGUCUCUGGCCACCCCUGCCAGUGUUCUGGGGCUGACAGAGAUUUGAAUUCUCCCUGGCAUGGAGGUCUCGGGGUCCCGCCCAGUGAGGACCUCCCAACUAGGGCCUGCAACCACCCCGGUAGUGUUCUGGGGCUGACAGAGAUGUGAAUUCUCUCUGGCACGGAGGUCUCGGUGUCUGACCCAGUGAGGGACCUCCCAUAUGGGGCCUCCAGCCACCCCCGCCAGUGUCCUGGGGCUGACAGAGAUUUGAAUUUUCCCUAGCAUGGAGUUCUUGAGGUCCCACCCAGUGAGGGUUCUCCUAACUGGGCCCUCCGGCCACCCCUACCUGUGUUCUCAUGCUGACAGAGAUUCGAGUUCUCCCUGGCAUGGAGGUCUCCAGUUCCUGCCCAGUGAAGUUCCUUUCAACUCGGGCCCCCAGCCACCACCCCACCCCCUCCUCCAGUGUCCUCAGGCUGCCAGAGAUUUCAAUUAUCCCUGGCAUGGCGGUCUCAAAGUCCUGCCUGGUGAGGGAUCACCGCACUGGGACCUCCAGUCACUCCUGCUGGUGUUCUCGGGCCCAAAGAUAUUUGAAUUCUUGGGAUGAAAUGGCCAAAGAUGAGCUGCCAUCUUUGCUGUUUGUGCAACUUAGCCACUCCAGCCUGAGGGUUUUGUGGAAUCCAUACCUACCGGGGCAGAAGGGAUCUCCCAGCACAACACAGCUACUCUACAAAAUCUUGGUCAGGCAGAUUCUUUUAGCAGGUUCCUGACCCAUUUCUUCUUAAUUGGUAGGACCUUGACAACUCUAUCCAAGGGAGAAUGUAAAUCUCUGUCAGCUCUAGAACUAAGGGGUGGAAGCCCCACUUGGGAGGUCUCACCCAGUGAGGAACGGAUCGGGGAUCUACUUAAAGAAUCUUGCCAUGAUUUGAUAGAGCAGUUGUGCUGUUCUGGGGAUCCCCUCCACCCUAGUCACUUUGGACUCUCCAAAGCCCACAGACUGGAAUAACUGAGUCACCCAAACAGCAAAGAUGGCGGCCCCCUUCUCCCCCAGGGAACUCAUCCCAGGGAGAAUUCAAAUCUCCGUCAGCCUGAGAGCACCUGCAGGAGUAGCUGCAGGCCCCAGUUGGGAGGUCCCGCCCAGCGAGGAGGAAUGGAUUGGGGAUCCACUUAAAGAGGCAGUCUGGCCACAUUUUGGUAGAGCAGCUGUGCUGCGUGGGGGAUCCCUUCUGCCCUCAGUUGGUUUGGGUUCUCAAAAGCCCAACAGGCUGGAAUGGCUAAGUUACCCAAACAACAAAGAUGGUGGCCUGCCCUGUCCCCUAGGAAGUCAGUCUCAGGUAGGUAAAACACUGUUGCUGGUGGCUGGCUGGAGUUGUUUCCUUGAUUAUGUGAGUAAUGCGAGUACCUGGUUGUUUCAGUUGAAGGUGCUGUAUUGACUUGCCCUUUUCAUUCCUCUCCAUGAGAGCCGUGCACCCUAGCUUCUUCUAGUCAGUCAUCUUGGCCACACACCCCCAUAAUCGUAUUUUUUAACUAAAUCAUUCUUUAAAACUCUAACAAAAUAUUUAAACAUUUAAAAAGUGUGAGCUUUAGAAAUGCCUAAUUACAUCUUAGGUUUGAGACACGUAGCAGUUAUGUACAUUGUCAAUUCCAGAUUUUGCAUCUUACAAGGAAAGGACUUAGAUCUUAUUCAGUCUUUGUGUGUCUAAACUAUCUUCGCCUGUAAAAUGAGUACAAUGAAGUACUUUAUAGAGUUGUAAAUGUUAUAUGUAAAAAUAUAGCAGUGAGGGGGCAGUGGGCUGGCCAAGGUGGCCGAGUUGAAGCAGCUAGUGUGUUUGGCUCUCACAGAGAGGAACACAAGGGGAGAGUCAAUACUGCACCUUCAACUGAAACAUCCAGGUACUCACAUUGGGACUAACCAAGGAAACAACUUGACCCAGGGAGAAUGAAGAAAAGAAAGGCAAAACGACAGCCCACCUGGGAGUACCACAGAGCCAGGGGGAGCUCUCUCACCCAGGGAAGCAGUGAGUGAAUGUGUGACCCUGGAAACCCAUGCUUUUUCCAUGGAUCUUUGCAAUCCUUGGGUCGGGAGUUCUCAUGAACCCACUUUACCAGGGCCUUCAGUCUGACAGAGCUACGUGGAAUCUUGGCACAGCAGCCACUCAGGCACACAUGGAGACCUGGGAGCCUUAGGUACCUGGGCUUUCCUGCAAAAGUAGCUGCAACUGUGGCAAAGUGGGAGGUGAGACCCUCAUACAUAUCCCUAGGGAAGAGGCUGAAUUCAGGGAGCUGAGCAGCAACAGCCUGCAGGCCCCACUUCCACAGCACCUCACAGGAUAAGAGCCACUGGCUUGGAAUUCCAGCCAGCCACCAGCAACACUGUUGAGCCUCCCUGAGACAGAGCUCCUGAGAGAAGGGGUAGGCCACCAUCUUUGCUGUUUGGGCAACUUAGCUGCUCCAGCCUUCGGGAUUUGGAGAGUCUCAGCGGACCAGGGACAGAGGGAUCCAUUAGCACAGCACAGUGCUACUCUACCAAAAUAUGGCCGGACUACUGCUUUAAGAAGGUCCCCAAUCCCAUUCCUCCUCACUGGGCAGGACCUCCCAACCAGGGCCUCUAGCUACCCACUCUGGUAUUCUCAGGCUGACAGAGAUUUGAAUUCUCCCUGAGAUGGAGUGCCCUGAGGGAGGCGUGGGCCGCCAUAUUUGAUGUUUUGGCAACUUAGCCAUUCCAGCCUUUGGGCUUUAAGGAGUCCCAGCUGACUUAGGGCGGAUAUGGCCCCCCAGCACAGCACAGCUGCUGUACAAAAGCAUAGCCAGACUGCUUCUUUAAGUAGGUCCCGGAUUCAUUCCUCCUCACUGUUUGGGACUUCCCAACUGGGGCCUCCAACCACCCCCACUGGUGUUCUCCUGCUGACAGUGAUUUCAAUUUUUUCUGGGCUGGAGCUCCCUGAUGGAGGGGCAGGCCACCAUCUUUGCUGUUUUUGCAACUUAGCCACUUCAACCUUCAGUCUUUGGAGUGUCCAAGGAGACCAGGGGGUGAUGUGGACCCUCAGCAUACCACAGCUGCUCUAUAAAAAUGAGGCCAGACUGCGUUUUUAAGCACUUUCCCAAUGCCAUUCCUCCUCACUGGGCAAAACCUCCAAACUGGGGUCUCCAGCCACCUCCUACAGGUGUGUUUGGGCCAGCAACAAGUUCAUUCAUACCUCCCUAGGGCAAAGCUUCCAAAGGGAGCGGUAGGCUGCCAUCUUUGCUGUUUCACAGGCUUCACUGAUGAUAACUCCAGGUACUGGAAAAUCUGAGGCUACUAGAGACUGGAGCGGGCCCUGGGCAUACUGCAGCAGCCCUAUGGAAAAGUGGCCAGACUGUUACCUGGGUUCCCAUUCCUAUAUCUUCUCACUAGGCAAGUCUUGCAGGCCUGGACCUCUACCUAACCCCCCCUACCAGAACUGUUGAGCCAGUAGCAACUCAGCCACUCCCUGGAGAGAGCCUCCAGGGGCAACUGAAAGCCUCUCUGCCACUGCUUCUGCAGUGGAACUGUCCUUGCUACCCUCAGACUGAUGAAGGAGCUAACACCCUUAUCUACACCUUCAACAAGCUUUAAUUGACCAAAGCCCAUCUCUCAUGGGUUCUACACACUCCCCACUGCUCAUGACAGGGAACCCCUGGAUUGGCCCCCACAGCACGAAUUCUCCAUCCUGAUUGCUGAUUGCAGUAAACAGUUGCUGUAUUCUCCAGGGGUGGUGGAACUCUGAGGAGACAAACAAAAGACCCUUGGCUACAACCACUACUAAUGUCCCUUCCUCUUCUGCCUCAAAGUUAGGAAAGAAAUAUAAACACUGAGAUUGCCCCAGAGCUGCAGUGGGCAGCCUAGGAGUGCCAAGCCAUGACCUACAGCCAGCACUCAAGGGGGAGAGAAGCACAUUUUCAGAUCAUUGAGAGGGAACAUGGCUGCAACUGUAAGGAAACAUAGGGGAGCCACAUGACCAAGCAAGAGUCUACCAACUGACCAGUAAGCCCAAGUGCCACCUACUGGAUCACAUCCCAAAGCUUCAGCAUCAAAAAUACCUUACUAAUAUACUCCCCUCUGAAACCAGAAAUGAGAAGUCAGCUUCAAAUAAAGACCCUGCACAAAGCCUCAGCCUGGUGAAAACAUCCGAAAAUAAGUCUACGGACUGUACUCAAUCUACACUGCAAUUAAAGGAAAACCCAUAGGUGGAAAUGAGAAGAAACCAAUGCAAGAACUCCAGUAACUCAAAUGGCCUCUGUGUCAUAUGUCCUUCUAACAACCACACCAGUUCUCCAACAAGAGUUCUUAACCUGGAUGAACUGUCUGGAAUUACAUAAAUAUAAUUCAGAAUAUGGAUAGGAAAAAAAAUCAUCAAGACUCAGGAGAAUGGCAAAACCCAAUCCGAGGAAAAUAAGAAUAACAGUAAAGUGUUACAGGAGCUGAAGGAUAAAGUAGCUGGUAUAAUAAAAAAGAACCUAACCGAUCUGAAAGCGCCGAAGAACACAAUACAAGAAUUCCACAAUGCAAUCACAAGUAUUAACAGCAGAAAAAAAAAUCUGAGGAACGAAUCUCAGAACUUGAAGAUUGGUUCUCUAAAAUAAGAUGGACAAAAAUAAAAAAGAAUGAACAAAACCUUCAAGGAGGAUGGGAUUAUAUAAAGAGGCCAAUUCUACAAAUCACUGGCAUCUCUGAAAGGGAGGUGGAGAAAUCAAACAACUUGGAAAACGUAGUUCAGGAUAUCAUCUUUGAAAGCUUCCCUAACCUUGCUAGAAAGGCCAACAGUCAAAUUCAGGAGAUACAAAGAACUCCUACAAGAUUCUACACAAGACCAUCCUCAAGACACAUAAACAUCAGGUUUUCCAAGGUCGAAAUGAGGGAAAAUAUGUUAAAGGCAGCCAGAGAGAAAGGGCAGGCCAUCUACAAAGGGAACCCCAUUAGGCUAACAGCAGAUCUCUCAGCUGAAAUCCUACAAGCCAGAAGGGAUUGGGGGACUAUAUUUAACAUUAUUAAAGAAAAUCUUCAACCAAGAAUUUCAUAUACAGCUAAACUAAGCUUUCUAAAUGAAGGAGAAAUGAGAUCAUUUACAGACAAGCAAAUUCUGAGGUAAUUCAUUACCACCACAUCUGCCUUACAAGAGAUUUUAGAAAGGAGGACUAAAUAUAGAAAGGAAAGACCACUACACGCUAAUGCAAAAACAUACUUAAACACACAGACCGGUGACACUAUAAAGCAACCACACAAAAAAGCCAACAUAAUAACCAGCCAACAGCACAAUGACAAGAUCAAAUCUACACAAAUCGAUACUAGCCUUGAAUGUAAAUGGGCAAAUGCCCCACUUAAAAGGCACAGAGUGGCAAGCUAGAUUUAAAAAAAAAAAAAGCGAGACCCAAUGGUAUGUCGUCUUCAAGAGACCCAUCUCACACAUAAUGACACUCAUCGUCUCAAACUAAAAGGAUGGAGAAAAAUCUACCAGACAAAUAGAAAACAGAAAAAAAGCAGAGGUUGCAAUCCUAAUUUCAGACAAAACAGAUUUCAAAUGAACAAUAAUUUUUCAAAAGGACAAGGGGGCAGGGGCAAGAUAGCCGACUAGAAGCAGCUGCAGUUUGAGGCUCCCACUGAGAAGAACUAAAAGAGUGUGCAAAUCCUGCAGCAGCAACUGACAUAUCCAGGUUCUAUGAUCAGGACUGACUAGGUGGUUGCCGUGACCCAUAGAGAACAAGGAAAGAUGGGCUGGUGGAUUGGCCCACCUGGGAGCCACAUGGGGCAAGGGGAGCCCUCACCCUCAGCCAGCCAAGGGAGGCAGUGAGUGAGCAUGCUACCCAGCCUGGGAAACUGCUUUUUCCAUGGAUCUUUGCAAUCCACAGAUCAGAAGAUCCCACUCAUGAGACCACACCACGAGGGCCUUGGGUGCCAACCACAGAGCCAUGCAGAUUCUCAACAGCCACUCAGCUGGAGUCUGCCUAAAACUACCGAGUUCCCAAGUUGGGGAGGGGUGGUCAUCAUCACUGUGGCUGCCUGCUGCCUAAACCCUCUGAGUUCCCUGGGGGAGGGGGAGCAAUCAUCACUGUGGUUGCUGGCUGCCUAAGACAACUGAGCUUCCCAAGAGAGGGGCAGUCAUCAUCACUGCAGCUGCCUGCUGCCUGAGGAAACUGAGCUCCCUAAGAAGGGACAGCAGCCAUCACUGUGGCUGCUAGCUGCCUAAGACACUGAACUCCUGGGGAGGAAGGGCGGCAGCCAUUUCUACAGAUCCAGGCUGCUGUUUUUCCUUUGCUGAUGCCAGGAAGACUGGACGGCUUGGUCCCAAGAGGUAUUCCCCACAGCGCAGCAUACUGGCUGUGGCAGAUCAUGGCCAGACUGCCUCUUUAGGCUGACCCUGACCCAUCCCUCCUCACUGGGUGGGGCCUCCCUGCAGGAACUCCAGCAACUCAAGCCAGGGAAUUAGGGAGAGAACUCUGAUCUCUCUAGGUCUGAGUCCCUAGUGGGAGGGGUGGCUGGCUGUUGUCUCCACAAACCGGAAGACUUGUUCUUUCCCCCUGCUCACUCUGAGGAUUCCAGGCAGCCCAGAUGAGUGGGAUUUUCCCCGGCACAGCAUACCCCCUUCCCAAAGGGACAAUCAAAGUGCUUCAUUAAGCAAGUCCUGGAUCCUGUGCCCCUCAACUGGGUGAAACACCCCAGUGGGUCACCAGACACCUUAUACAGGAGCAUUUCUACUGGCAUCAGGUGGGUGCCCCUCAAGGACAGAGAUCCCAGAGGAAGGAGUGGGGUCCCAUCUUUGCUGUUCUCCAGCACCCUCUGGUGACAUCUUCAGGUGUGGGAGGGACCCAGAUAAAUAGGGCUUGAAGUGAAUCCCCAGCAAACCACAGCAGCCCUACAGAAGAGGUACCUGACUGUCGAAAGAAAAACAGAAAGCAACAACAACAUCAACCAAAAAGUCCCCACGAAAACCUCAUCUAAAGGUCAGCAGCCUCAAAGAUCAAAAUGAGACAAACUCAUGAAGAUGAGAAAGGAAUGAAAAACCCCUAACAACUCAAAAGGCCAGAGUGACUUGUUUACUCCAAAUGAUCACAACACCUCUACAGCAAGGGCACAGUCCUGGGUGGAGGUUGAGAUGGAUGAAUUGACAGAAGUAGGCUUCAGAAGGUGGGUAGUAGCAAACUUCACUGAGCUAAAGGAGUACGCUCUAACCCAACAUAUUGGAACGAAUCCCAGAACUUAAAGAUUGGUUCUCUAAAAUAAGACAGACAAAAAUAAAAAAGAAUAAAACGGAAGGAAGAAAACCUCCAAUAAGUAUGGGGUUAUAUAUAGAGGCCAAUUCUACAAAUCACUGGCAUCCCUGAAAGGGAGGUGGAGAAAUCAAUGCAUUGGGUUAGAACAUGCUCAUUUAGCUCUGUGAAAUUUGUUAUUACCCACCUUCUGAACCCUACUUCUGUCAGCAAAGAAGCUAAGAACCAUGUUAAAAGAUUACAGAAGAUGCUAACUAGAAUAACCAGUUUAGAGAGGAACAUAAAUGACCAGAGCCAGCUGUAAAGCACAUAAGGGGAACUUUGUGAUGCAAACACAAGUAUCAACAGCUGAAUUGAUCAAGCAGAAAAAAGAAUAUCAGAGCUUGAAGACUGUCUUGCCAAAAUAAGGCAGGCAGAGAAGAUUAGAGAAAAAAGAAUGAAAAGGAAUGAACAAAACCUCAAAGAACUGUGGAACUAUGUAAAAGACCAAACCUAUGACUGAUUGGACUACCUGAAAGAGACAAGGAGAAUGGAGCCACGUUGGGAAAACACACUUCAAGAUAUCAUCCAGAAGAACUUCCCCAACCUAGCAAGACAGGCCAACAUUCAAAUUCAGGAAAUCCAGAGAACCCCAGUAAGAUACUCCACAAGAAGAUCAACCCUCAAGACACAUAGUCAUCAGAUUCUCCAAGAUCAAAAUGAAGGAAAAAAUGUUAAAGGCAGACAGAGACAAAGGGCAGGUCACCUACAACGGGAAGCCCAUCUGACUAAGAGUGGGCCUCUCAGCAGAAACCCCACAAGCCAGGAGACAGUUGGGUCCAAUGGUCAACAUUCUUAGAGAAAAGAAUUUCUAACCUAGAAUUUCAUAUCUGGCCAAACUAACCUUCAUAAGUGAAGGAGAAAUCCUUUUCAGACAAGCAAAUGCUGAGGGAAUUUAUCACCACCAGGCCUGCCUUGCAAGACCUCCUGAAGGAAGUGCUAAAGAUGGAAAGGAAAAACUGGUACCAGCCACUGCAAAAAUGUACUGAAGUACAAAGACCAAUGACACUAUGAAGAAACUGCAUCAACUAGUGAGCAAAAUAACCAGCAAGCAUCAUGGUGACAGGAUCAAAUUCACACAUAACCAUAUUAACCUUAAGUGUCAAUGGGCUAAAUGUACCAAUUAAAAGACACAGACCAGCAAAUUGGAUAUAAAGAGUCAAGAUUCAGGUGUGCUGUAUUCAGGGUUCCUAUCUCAUGUGCAAAGACACACAUAGGCUCAAAGCGAUGGAGGAAAAUUUACCAAGCAAAUGGAAAGCAGAAAAAAGCAGGGGUUGCAAUCUUAGUUUCUGACAAAACAGACUUUGAAUCAACAAAGAUAAAAAAAGACAAAGAAGAACAUCACAAUGAUAAAGGAAUCAAUUCAACAAGAAGAGCUAACUAUCCUAAAUAUGUAUGCACCCAAUACAGGAGAACCCAGAUUCACAAAACAAGUUCUUAGAGACCUACAAAGAGACUCAGGCUACCACACAACAAUAGUGGGAGACAUUAACACCCCAUUGUCAAUAUUGGAUCAUCUAGGCAGAAAAUUGACCAGAAAGGACUUGAACACAGCUCUGGAUCAAGUGAAUCUCAUAGAUAUCUACAGAACUCUCCAACACGAAACAACAGACUAUAUAUUAUUCUUAGUGGCAUAUGACACUCUAAAAUUGAUCACAAAAUUAGAAUUAAAACACUCCUCAGCAAAUGCAAAAUAACUGAAAUCAUAACAAUCUCUCAGACCACAGUGCAAUCAAAUUAGAACUCAAGAUUAAGAAACUCACUCAAAACCACACAACUACAUGGAUAUUGAACAACGUGCUCCUGAGUGACUUCUGGGUAAAUAAUAAAAUUAAGGCAGAAAUCAAGAAGCUCUUUGAAACCAAUGAGAACAAAGAGACAAUGUACCAGAAUCUCUGGGAGGCAACUAAAGCAGUGUUAAGAGGUAAAUUUAUAGCACUAAAUGCCCACAUCAUAAAGCUAGACAUAUCUCAAAUUGACACCCUAACAUCACAACUAAAAGAACUAGAGAAGCAAGAGCAAACAAAUCCAAAAGUUAGCAGAAGAGAAAAAAAAAAAUGACUAAGAUCAAAGUGGAACUGAAGGAGACAGAGACAUGAAAAACCCUUCAAAAAAAAAGAAAGAAAUAAAACAUGUUCAAAUAGCAAGAGAUAAAAUCAAAUUGUCUGUGUUUGCAGAAAACGUGAUUCUAUAUCUAGAAAACCACAUCGUCACAGCCCAAAAACUCCUGAAGCUGAUAAGCAAGUUCAGCAAAGUCUGAAGAUACAAAAUCAAUGUGCAAAAAUCACAAGCAUUCUUAUACACCAGCAAUAGACAAUAUUCUUCAAUUCCUAUACACCAACAAUAGGCAAGAGAGCCAAAUCAUGAAUGAACUCCCAUUCACAAUUGUUACAAAGAGAAUAAAAUACCUAGGAAUACAGCUAACGAUGGGUGUGAAGAACCUCUUCAAGGAGAACUACAAGCCACUGCUCAAGGAAAUAAGAGAGGACACAAACAAAUGGAAAAAUAUUCCAUGCUCAUGGGUGGGAAGAAUCAAUCUCAUGAAAAUGGCCAUACUGCCCAAGGUAAUUUAUAGAUUCAGUGCUAUUCACAUCAAACUACCAUUGACAUUCUUCACAUAAUUAAAAAAAAAACUACUUUAAGUUUCAUAUGCAACCAAAAAAGAGACUGAAUAGUCGAGACAAUCCUAAGCCAAAAGAACAAAGCUGGAGGCAUCAUGCUAUAUGACUUCAAACUAUACUACAAGGCCACACUAAUCAAAACAGCAUGGUACUGUUACCAAAACAGACACACAGACCAAUGGAGCAGAAUAGAGAUCUCAGAAAUAAGACCACACAUCUACAACCAUCUGAUCUUUGACAAACCUGACAAAAACAAGCAAUGGGGGAAGGAAUACCUAUUUAUUUAUUUAUUUAUUUAUUUUGAGACAAAGUCUCACUCUGUCACCAGGCUGGAGUGCAGCGGCAUGAUCUCAGCUCACUGCAACCUCUGCCUCCCGGAUUCAAGUGAUUCUCCUGCCUCAGCCUCCUGAGUAGCUGGGACUACAGGUUCGAGCCACCACGCCCAGCUAGUUUUUGUAUUUUUAGAAGAGACGGGGUUUCACCAUGUUGGCCAGGAUGGUCUUGAUCUCUUGACCUCAAGAUCCACCUGCAUCAGCCUCCCAAAGUGCUGAGAUUAUAGACAUGAGCCACUGCACUUGGCCAGGAUUCCCUAUUUAAAUGGUGCUGGGAAAACUGACUAGCCAUAUGCAGAAAACUGAAACUGGACCUCAUCCUUACAUCUUAUGCAAAAAUUAACUCAAGAUGGAUUAAAAACUUAAAUGUGAAACCCCGAACUGUAAAAAACCCUAGAAGAAAAUCUAGGAAGUUCCAUUCAGGACAUAGGCAUGAGCAAAGAUUUUACGAUGAAAUCAUCAAUAGCAAUUGCAACAAAAGCAAAAAUUGAUAAAUGGGAUCUAAUUAAACGUAAGCACUUCUGCACAGGGAAAGAAACUAUCAUCAGAGUGAACAAGCAACCUACAGAAUGGGAGAAUAUUUUUGCAAUCUACCAAUCUGACAAAGGUCUAAUAUCCAGAAUCUACAAGGAACUUAAACAAAUUUACAAGAAAAUAACAACCCCAUCAAAACAUGGGCAAAGGUCACGAACAGACAUUCUGAAAAGAAGACAUUUAUGCGUCCGACAAACAUAUGAAAAAAAAAGCUCAACACUAGUGUUUAUUAGAGAAAUGCAAAUCAAAACCACAAUGAGAUACCAUCUCAUGCCAGUCAGAAUGGCAAUUAUUAAAAAGUCAAGAAACAACAGAUGCUAGAGAGGCUGUGGAGAAACAGGAACACUUUUACACUGUUGGUGGGAAUGUAAACUAGUUCAACCAUUGUGGAAGACAGUGUGGCAAUUCCUGGAGGAUCUAGAAGCAGAAAUACCAUUUGACCCAGCAAUCCCAUUACUAGGUUUAUAUCCAAAGAAAUAUAAAUCAUUCUGUUUUAAAGAUACAUGCACACUUAUGUUUAUUGCAGCACUAUUCACAAUAGCAAAGACAUGGAAUCAGCCCAAAUGUCCAUCAAUGAUAGACUGGAUAAAGAAAAUGUGAUACAUAUACACCAUGGAAUACUAUGCAGCCAUAAAAAGGAAUGAGAUCAUGUCUUUUGCAGGGACAUGGAUGAAGCUGGAAGCCAUAAACUUCAGCUAAUUAACACAGGAACAGGAAACCAAACACCACAUGUUCUCAUAAGUGGGAACCGAACAAUGAGAACACAUGGACACAGGGAGGGGCAGAACACACACCGGAGCCUGUUGGGAAGGUAGGGGGAAGGAGAGCAUCACGAUAAAUAGCUAAUGCACGUGGGGCUUAAUACCUAGGUGAUAGGUUGAUAGGUGCAGCAAACCACCAUGGCACAUGUUUAACUAUGUAACAAACCUGCACAUCCUGUACAUGUAUCCUGGAACUUAAAAUAAAAUAGAAAAGACAAAGAAGGAUAUUACAUAAUGGCAAAGGCUUCAAUUCAACGAGAAGACCUAACUAUCCUAAAUAUAUAUUCAUCCAAUGCAGGAGCACCCAGAUUCAUAAGUAAAGUUCUUAGAGACCUACAAAGUAUGUUUCACAGUAAUAGUGGGAGAUUUCCACACUCCAAUGACAGUAUUAGACAGAUGAUUGAGGCAAAAAAAUGAACAAAGAUAUUCAGGACCUGAACUCAACAUUGGAUCAAAUGGAUCUGAUAGACCUUUACAGAACUCUGCACUCAAAAACAACAGAAUAUGCAUUCCUCACAUCAUCAUAUGCCACAUACUCUAAAAUCAACCACAUAAUUGGACAUAAAGCAAUCCUCAGCAAAUGCAAAACAACUGAAAUCAUACCAAAUACAUACUGAGAUCACAGUGCAGUAAAAAUAGAAGACUAAGAAAAUUGCUGAAAAUCAUGCAAUUACAUGGAAAUCAAUCAACAUGCUCCUGAAUGACUUUUUAAUAAAUAAUGAAAUUAAGGCAGAAAUCAAGAAGCUCUUUGAAAAUAAUGAGAACAAAGUUACAACAUACUAGAGCCUCUGGACACAGCUAAGACAAUGUUAGGAGGGAAAUUUAUAGCACUAAAUCCCACAUCAAAAAGUUAGGAAGAACUCAAAUUAAUAACCUAACAUCACAACUGAAAGAACUAGAGAAGCAAGACAAAACCCCAAAGCUAGAGGAAGACAAGAAAUAACUGAAAAUCUGAGCUGAACUGAAAGAAACCGAGACAUGAAAAAAAGAAAUUCAAAAGAUCUAUGAAUUCCGGUUUCUCCACAGACACUACCCAAAGCAGUGCUUCACUACAGUGGCAGACAGACCUGAAAAUUUUCAUCUGAAGCAGCAGAGUGAACUGCAGAGGCAGGUCACCAACCAGUGUGGAGGCUAAAAGCGGGCCUCUUUGGGGAUUCCAGGUGGAAGUGUUGGACAUCUGUAGUAUUCCUGGUCUCGAAUCAUCCUGAUAUUCUUCAUUUUGUUAUUCACAUUGGACUAGGAGAUAGAAUCUCACUAUGUUGACCAGGCUGGUCUUGAACUCUUGGCACCCAAGCGAUCCUUUUGCCUGGAAUCCCAAAGUGUCAGAUUUACUGAAGAAUAUUUCAUUGUAAUUACUUUUUAUACUUUAUAGGUCAAGAGCUCUGUUUUAAAUACAAAAUUUAUUGAAUAUACUUUUUCAAACAAAGUUUCAUGUUCUAAUCAU